CUUGGUAAAGUGACUGAGACAAACACAAGAGGAAAACAAUAUCCCACCUCACCCUCCCAUCACUCCAGAAAAGAAAAAGAUUUUUCUGUAGUAGAGAAUGGGGGAAAAGAGUGGCUGCAUCUGACAUCUAGGCUGAGGAGUCCACGUAGGG
rfam:Otolemur garnettii contig013097, whole genome shotgun sequence.